CCGAGUCUUGGGCCAGUUGUAAUUUGCCAAGCUUUGGGAAGUGACAAUGGGGCCAGACUAGGUCUGAGCCUAGGCCCUAUGGUUCAUUUUGUUCCUCCCAAGCCUUGGGGUAACCAUAGGGCCAAAGCUGGUCCGAGCCUUGGUCUACUCAUUUUAUUACUUUACAUCAAGCUUCGGGAUUAAUCCGCCAGAGCGUGUACUGUCUACUCCGAUAAGCGGUAAACAUAACCUGUAAAAAUAUUUCAAUUUUUCACCAUGUCUCGUCAACGUUACUCUGACUCAAAUUCUUAUUAGAAAGUUAAAAAACAAAGAUAUUUGAAAAAUGUAAGAUCUUACUCUGAAUGGGAGAUACAACAAGUAGCAGUAAUGUUAGUGAAAAAAUAAUGGGAAGUUAUAAUAAAUCUAACAACAAUCACAAUAAUAACAGUGAGCCUGACAUUUCUUUCAGCAACUCAAUUAGUUACGAAAUAACAUUUUCGUCGGGUAGUUUCCAUGUUGAGCCCUUAAAUGAAACGAUGAGCCAGUCCGUGGCCUUAGGGUUUCUAUAUGUGCCCCCAGUCUUGCCGUUCCUGCUGCCUUCCAACACAAAGUGAAUUCGACGGUGAUCAGAAAAAGAAUCUUCUUCGCUCACCCGCCAAUUCGUGACAGACUGUGCAAUCUUAUUAGAGCCCAGCGUGAUAUCAAUCACUUCCUGCC